UACGAGGGGGGCAAGCGUUGUUCGGAAUUAUUGGGCGUAAAGGGCGCGUAGGCGGUGCGGUAAGACUGUGGUGAAAUCUUCGGGCUCAACUCGAAGCCUGCCGCGGUGACUGCCGUGCUGGAGUGUGGGAGAGGUGAGUGGAAUUCCGGGUGUAGCGGUGGAAUGCGUAGAGAUCCGGAAGAACACCGGUGGCGAAGGCGGUCUGCUGGGCAGUUGCUGACGCUGAUGCGCGACAGCGUGGGGAGCAAACAGG
rnacentral:rRNA from 1 species